UGGUGUAGUCAGUACAUGAAGAGGUCAGUACAAGGUGUAGUCAGUACACGGUGUAGUCAGUACACGGUGUAGUCAGUACACGAUGAGGUCAGUACACGGUGUAGUCAGUACACGAUGAGGUCAGUACACGGUGUGGUCAGUACAUGAUGAGGUCAGUACACGGUGUAGUCAGUACACGGUGUAGUCAGUACAUGAUGAGGUCAGUACACGGUGUAGUCAGUACAUGAUGAGGUCAGUACACUGUGUAGUCAGUAUACGGUGUAGUCAGUACACGGUGUAGUCAGUACAUGAUGAGGUCAGUACACGGUGGUAUCAGUACAUAAUGAGGUCAAUACAUGGUGUAGUCAGUACAUGAUGAGGUCAGUACACGGUGUAGUCAGUACAUGAUGAGGUCAGUACACGGUGUAGUCAGUACACGAUGAGGUCAGUACACGGUGUAGUCAGUACAUGAUGAGGUCAGUACACGGUGUAGUCAGUACAUGAUGAGGUCAGUACACGGUGUAGUCAGUACAUGAUGAGGUCAGUACAUGAUGAGGUCAGUACACGGUGUAGUCAGUACACGGUGUAGUCAGUACAUGAUGAGGUCAGUACACGGUGUAGUCAGUACAUGAUGAGGUCAGUACACUGUGUAGUCAGUAUACGGUGUAGUCAGUACACGGUGUAGUCAGUACAUGAUGAGGUCAGUACACGGUGGUAUCAGUACAUAAUGAGGUCAAUACAUGGUGUAGUCAGUACAUGAUGAGGUCAGUACACGGUGUAGUCAGUACAUGAUGAGGUCAGUACACGGUGUAGUCAGUACACGAUGAGGUCAGUACACGGUGUAGUCAGUACAUGAUGAGGUCAGUACACGGUGUAGUCAGUACAUGAUGAGGUCAGUACACGGUGUAGUCAGUACACGGUGUAGUCAGUACAUGAUGAGGUCAGUACACGGUGUAGUCAGUACAUGAUGAGGUCAGUACACGGUGUAGUCAGUACACGAUGAGGUCAGUACACGGUGUAGUCAGUACAUGGUGUAGUCAGUACAUGAUGAGGUCAGUACAUGGUGUAGUCAGUACACGGUGUAGUCAGUACAUGAUGAGGUCAGUACACGGUGUAGUCAGUACACGAUGAGGUCAGUACACGGUGUAGUCAGUACAUGAUGAGGUCAGUACACGGUGUAGUCAGUACAUGAUGAGGUCAGUACACGGUGUAGUCAGUACAUGAUGAG